rnacentral:rRNA from 1 species
GAUGAACGCUGGCGGCGUGCCUAAUACAUGCAAGUCGAGCGAACAGAUGAGGAGCUUGCUCCUCUGACGUUAGCGGCGGACGGGUGAGUAGCACGUGGAUAACCUACCUAUAAGACUGGGAUAACUUCGGGAAACCGGAGCUAAUACCGGAUAAUAUAUUGAACCGCAUGGUUCAAUAGUGAAAGACGGUUUUGCUGUCACUUAUAGAUGGAUCCGCGCCGCAUUAGCUAGUUGGUAAGGUAACGGCUUACCAAGGCAACGAUGCGUAGCCGACCUGAGAGGGUGAUCGGCCACACUGGAACUGAGACACGGUCCAGACUCCUACGGGAGGCAGCAGUAGGGAAUCUUCCGCAAUGGGCGAAAGCCUGACGGAGCAACGCCGCGUGAGUGAUGAAGGUCUUCGGAUCGUAAAACUCUGUUAUUAGGGAAGAACAGAUGUGUAAGUAACUAUGCACGUCUUGACGGUACCUAAUCAGAAAGCCACGGCUAACUACGUG